UGCUCUUUGGUGACAGGUCAGCUUGUGCUGGACCACUCAGAUCCACGUUCACGCCCCUCUUCUGUGCCAUCUGAACCAUGGCUCCAUCUCCUCUCAUUCAGCAUCACUGUUGAUUUCCAUGCAUUUGAACAACUCAGGAAAAGUUUCUCUCCAGAAGCAUAUUGCUCUAUAAUGCAGCCCUGUUCCUUAGGAAGCCCAUUCUGGGGGGCUAUUGUGCCUUGGACAACCCCCUCUGGUGCACCCGGAGACCACCUGCCUCAUUGAGAUGGAUCGAAAAGAGGUUUCUUGAGGGUGAUCUGGUUUCUGAGCCCUGGCUCACACUAAGCAGACUCCAGAGACCCAGAUGAUCUUGGACAAAUAUGUAAGCGGCGGAUCCCUCGGAAUACUUGUGCAGGUGCCCUGCGGGAACCAUCUGGCGUGCGGCUUCUUCUGCACGGGAGCUGGGGACAGAGCCACACUGACUGGCUGAGGACAAGAUGGCCCCAGCUGCUCAUACAACCCCACUCAGCAUGUGAUGAAUAUGGACAGGGGCUCCUGGGAUCCCAAUGGAGCCAGCAGAACGGCGGUGCUUCCCAGGCCCCUUGUGAACUGGCAAUGCCAAACAGACAUGCACAGGAAGCAGGCGUGCAUCUGCCUGCUGCAAGUGCCCACACAGGUGCAAUGUGUUCAAAGAAUAAAACCUAACCUGCAAACUCCCACACAGGUGCAAUGUGUCCAAAGAAUAAAACCUAACCUUUUUUGGAUUGA